GGAGGCGCCCCCGACCCGGGCCGGCCCUGGAUCUGGCGCUGUGUCCCCGCCCGUCCUGCAGACGCGGCCCUGGCAACUUUUAAAUCCGCCCCCAGGAAAGCAGAGGGAUCCUCUCUUCUGCAGUCUUCUACUUGAAGAUGGUCUGAAAAUACUGGUUCUGAGAAGAAGAGUCUCAGAAUCAUGAUCAAUGAGAACUUGAGAGGCCAAACCUCAAGACAGUGACAGACUGGGGGCUCAGACAAAAUGUUUUAAGUUUCUGAAGGCCCCUCAUUGAAGAGGUACAAUGGGACCAAGAGCAUCAUACGACACAGUCACUCUGUGUGGACACUCCCCUAUCCCCCCCAAUUUCUUCUAAGUCUACUUACUUGUUCAAAAGCAUGUUGAGGGAAUGAGGUUAAUUUUUGUUAAUUCUGGUAGUUGCAGAACAUUCCAGUCCGAGAGUUCCUCAUUUCCUUUAGAAAGUCUAUAGACAUCUAGAAUAGAUCUAUUUCACAAAUUGGUCCCAGUAUUUCUCUGCAACCUAAGAGUCCAAGGACUGAGGGUGUUCUGGAGCCAGUCUACCACAAGCUACAACUCAGGCUCGUGUCAGAUUUUACCUUUUCUGACCAACCUCCAGAAAUUGAGACAGAGGGAAGCAUUCAACUUCUGCUAGAAAGUGAUAAGUGUAAAUCUGCAAAACCUCAAGUACUUAACACUGGCUGAAACUCUGACUUCAGGUGCUAUAAAAUCUACAAGGCAAAAACCUCAUGAGUUUAAAGUUAUUAUAAGAACUCAAUAUUCAACUAAGGAAUAAAAGGUAGAGUUGUGCUUGAUAACUCUAAAAUUCGAAAAUGAAGCUAAAGAAGAAACAUUUCCUCAAGGAAGUUUUUUUUAAUGAUAUGCAACUUAGUAUGCUUAUAUUUUACCUGUAGCUUCCAUUAAAAAGGUCUUAAAAUUACCAUAAUCCUGGGAAAGAAGUUGUUGUGCCUUGUAAGCCCUUCCAGGUUUUAUUAUUUACCCUUUUGUUGAAGGUACAUAAAUAGGGAAGGAUUUUUCACUUAAGGAACACUGAUUAAAAGUUAAAAUAUUUA